rnacentral:misc_RNA from 1 species
AACCUUAUGGACCUGCGGGCGUAUACCUGCGGAAGGAUCAUUACCGAGUUUUCAACUCCCUAACCCUUCUGUGAACCUACCUAUCGUUGCUUCGGCGGACUCGCCCCAGCCCGGACGCGGACUGGACCAGCGGCCCGCCGGGGACCUCAAACUCUUGUAUUCCAGCAUCUUCUGAAUACGCCGCAAGGCAAAACAAAUGAAUCAAAACUUUUAGCAAUGGAUCUCAGAUCGGAAGAGCAC